rnacentral:lncRNA from 1 species
UAAACCACAAAAACAGAGAAUUGCAAAGAUGACAAAGUUACACAGAUGAUAUGACUAUAAUUUUCUAAACUUAAGAAAACCAUAGAAUAUCGAGAUGUGAAAGUUACACAGAUCAAAUGUAUGUUUCAAGAAAAAGAAGAAAAUAACAGAAAACGAGAAUUUACAAAUUAGAAUAACACAUUAACACUUGAGGAUUCAUGAUUUAAUAAACUUCUGAAAUGAGUGGAAGCAUAAACUAUAUAUGAAACAAGAUUAAUUUUUUUUUUUUUUUUUGCAAAAAGGGUGGAUAAUAUCUCAAGAAGACGAGACGACGUCUCGAUUGUUUUUUUUUUUCAAAAUAUGAAAAAAGCCUAAGAUAUAUAAAAUGAAUAUUUUGUAGAUAUUCUUAAGUUGUUUCAUUUCAAUUUUUUUUAUUUUUGUUGAAACUGUUACAUUAUAUUUAAAAUAAAUUAUAACGAAAUAUAGUUGUGAAAUAUUCAGGUCGGACAAUUUAGUAAAUUUGUAUAUACAAAAGUGUAUUUUUCAAAAAAACUUAAAUAACAGUGUAGUUUUCAAAUUAAAAUUUUAUUUAAGUGUAUUUCUCUAAAUUUUCCCAUGAAUUAUUAUCUAAAGAACUAAUAUAAAUAUUAAAUAAUAUUUAUUAAUUAAUAAUUUAAUUUUGGAUAAUAUAUAACUAUAUUAUUUUAAAAUAAAUUUUUUUAAAAAAUAUAUAGAUU